rnacentral:lncRNA from 1 species
UUUCACUUCGCAUGUUUUAACUUCCCAAAUAAUAAUAUUAUUCAAAUCAUCAACAAACGUCGAUCAUACUUUGGAAGUAGGUAUUGAGGCAAGACAGUCAUGAAACCGUCUGUAGAUUGUCUAAGUGUUAGACAUAGCACAAGUUUGCUACAGUAUUCAUGAGUGCUCCUAUAAUAAGAUUUGAGUAUUGGAUUAAACCCAUGCUCAUCUGAAUCACUUCAUGGAUUUUAUCACGAGUGAUUGUGAGACGAUCAUUGAUGGGUUUUGGUCCUAAGAACAUCCUAUGUGCUCAUACAAUCCCUAAUGCUUGGAUCUAGGUUUCUCUAUUGUACAUGCUUGUUAUCCAAGACUAUAAACCCUAAUUCUAGCAUAUGGAAUUCGAUAUUAACAUAUAAUUAGGUUUAUGAUAUUACCUUGAUUGUUAUGUAGCAAUAACAAUCCCAAUUCCUCCUUGAAUUGACUUUGGAAGGCUUAGAGUCACAAGUGUCACUCCUCUAAUGGCUUACAAACACCAUAAGCAAGUGGAGAAGGUAUAAAGAGAGAGGAGAGAGGUAGAAAUUCGUCCUUAGAUGCUCUAGGGACCAAGUGCACGAAAUCCUAAGGCCUUAGGGGUCUUUAUAUAGGGUUGGGAUUAAGGUUUCAGUCCUUAUCCUUAUCUAGUUACUUGCCCAUCAAGCAACCAUAAGAUAAGCCUGGAAAAUCCCUAUCUCUUGGACCUUGGACGAUUUUAAGGAUAUCCUUAUCCUUGAAUUCGUCCAUCCUUUAACAAGGAUAACCAUUGCCCUAUUUUGCAACUAUCACAUAAUUACAAUUCAGCCCCUCUAGUUUAAUUAAUUACAUUUGAUCACAAAAUUAAUUCUUAAUUAAUUAUUGACCAAUAUUAAUUAAACAAAUAUGAUUUCUCCUUUAAUAUAUUAUUCUUAUAACAUAUUAAUAAAUCAUAAUAACCUCUCUCUCUAUUUAUUUCUCCAAUCAAGUUGCUUUGGUGAAGGCAACCCAAAAGGACCAUGCACCAUCGGGUCAAGUACAUACCAAAAUAGUUAUGGACUUAGACACUAAUCCAACAGUCUCCCACUUGGAUAAGUCUAAUAACUAUUCUGCGUAUGACUUCAGAUCCUGAUCUGCAAUCGUAGCUUUCCAAAGCCGCUGUCAACUCUGAUCAUAUCAGAUACGCGUGUCCUUAGAUAAGGGAUCAUAUAUUCCUCCAUUCUAGAUAUCAUAUGAGAUAUGAUUUCAAAUCAUUCUCUUUGUACUAUAUCUCGAUUCCCGAUUUAUGACGACUGACUAAUUGAACAAAUCAAAUUAGCCCUAGCCCGGCCGAGCAUUUACGUUUGUCAUCACUAAAUCAUCGAGGGGCCCAAAGAUAUCGCUUUUAUCCUACUUUGGAUAAAAGGAACGGAUAAACUUUGAUACAAUGCUUGCUUGCACUCACUCACCGAAUCACACACAACAAUAUGUUUUAUAACACCAAGUUACUAGUGCGUUUACAUAUUAUCAAUGUGCAACCGAUUUGCAAGAUACAACUCACACAUCUCGGUUUCAAGAAUAUAAGAUGUUAUCGUCUCACCAAUCACUCGUGAUACAAUUCAUGGAGUGAUCCAAGUGAGCGUGGGUUUAAUCCAAUGCUCAAAUCAUAUUCAUAAGCACUCAUGAACGUUGCAGCAAACAUUUGCUUAUGUCUAAUACUCUUUUAGACAAUCCACACACCAAUUCACGACAGUCUUCAUUCAUAUCUACUUCCAACAUAUGAACGACUGUGGCCCGUUCGAAUAAUUCGAUUAUUCUUAAUAAACUCAAUUAUUCUGGAAGUCAAAACAUGCAAAUGUGAAACACAAGAAUAAUACUAAUCCCAUAUGGCCUCAAACCUUUGAGUAUAAAUAAAACACCUUUUAUUUAUCACCAUAUUGAUUACUCAUUAUUUGUCGUUUCGGGUAAUCAACUUCUUACUUGAAUUACAACACUUGUCCCAUGCUCCUAGCAUGCACACAAUGUUUACCUAUGGUUCUUACUUUGUGAAAUAGAUCACAUUGAACACAUUUCCAAUCAUUCUCAUUUCACAACUCCAAAUCCUUUUUCAUAAGUGUAAGAAUAUCAAAUUCUUGCUACUUAUAGAAUAUGCUAGAUUCUAACAUUCUAUGCAACUAUCCUUUCGUAAUGUCACUGCACCAAAGUCACAAAGACUAUUGCCAAUGAUAUUACAAAGUCCUCUAUCGGAGAUUGUUACAAGACAAUUCCAUAGAUGUGAUGUCUCUCACUCAAAGUACAUUCUUUGAACAUCCUUUUGCAUAGAAGUUUCUAAUCUAGUCAUAGAUUUCUCAAUAUUCAAUUCCCAAUAUGGACACACUUCCAUAUGUUCCAUAUGACAACUCAUUCUUAAUAGAAUCUUAUCUAUUCGUAAUGAUGUCGAUAUGGUCCAUCCAAUAUGGAAACAUUUCCAUAUUUUCCAAUACUAUACUUCCAACUACUCACAAGCGACCAAUCCUCGUCGAACUUUGGAUUGUCCUUUGAUAGUUGUUUAAUUAUUUUAGUCAAAACCGAUUCUAGUCCUUUUUCCCUCUAAAUGCGCUAGACAUUUGGAAAAUUUUAGAAUGGUCAAACAUUAAAGCAUUUGCAAUCGAUCCUAUACCCGAAGCGUAUGGGACACGACGCAUAAUGUUUUAUUUGCUAUGUUCUCAAAAUUCGAAUUGUGAAGAGGGAUGCCGUAAUCAUAAUCGAAAUUUUAAGAACACACUAUGUACCUUUGACUAAAUUUAUUAACAUUUCUCAACCUAAUCCUUUAGAUUUGAAAUGAAGCAUAAUAUUCUCUCCCUUAAUUAUAGCAAAACAACUUUUCAACUCUUACAACUUUGCAAAGUAUGACUCUUGUUUUCUAUAAUUAAUAUUGCUAACCUUGCAAUACUUUCCUUAAUAAUCAUACAAUCAUAACAUUUAUGCUCCCACUAUCAUGAUGAUUAUUAUAAAACAUAACACUUAUGCUCCCACUAGCUUCGACAUGUAUUCAUAAACAUCUUAACUUUCAGAAAACAAUACUUAUUGAAUUUCUUAAGUUCAUGUUUCUAAUACUUAGUGCUUUGAUAAUCCUUUAUCAAUGCUUCUUGAACUUAUACACCUUUGCCUUCGAUAGUUCAUAUGUGUGUCUAAACAAUUAAGACUAAUUGCCAAACCUCACAAUUCAAAUUAUGGAAAGGGAUGCCGUAACCAUAAUUGAAUUCGAGAAUGCAAUUUUACAAUCACUAUCUUCUUAAAAUCUUUCUUAGUGAAAGCAUUUCCUCACAAUCAUUUUCAUGAAGGAGGAAAUCUUAUGACACUUAGAUUUAAACGGUGUAUGUGUUCCUAUCCAUGUGAAUUUGUUAAAACCAAAGUUUACGACAAAUUCAAACUCAUAUGGACCGAACUUUCUUAAUCUUGAUUUCUUGCCUUAUGGUAGCACAGCUGCCCACCAUGUCUUCCAAGUAGUUAAGCAGCUCACCUUUUCCUAUCAAUGUACCUUUCAUUGAUUAAGGUGCUUUGCCUUUUAUGCGUUCAAAAUGAGAACUCAUAGAACUCACAUGCAUAAUUAACUCGAUUGGAUUGGCACAGAAUCAAAAUAAUGUCAACACGAUAGGUUGUAAACCUCAACUCGUGUGCUAGUGAUGAUCGAUAAGGUUUAUUUGAUUUGUUCUUGAAACCUUUCAAGACCAUUAAGACUCCCACUGACUCCUUGACAUAUAAGAUUCUCUUGUCAAUAACCAUUUCUUGACAAACAAAUAUUCAAGAGUUAGUGUAGCUUUUAUCAAAACACUUCAUAAAUUGGUCCUAGUUGGUCUUUGUCUUAUCCAAGACAUCACAACUUUCCACAUUUGAUGAAUGUUAUAAACCUUCUUAAUACUUUUCACUCAAUGUCACAAUCUUAACUUUAAGACUUGUUUUGGAACGAAGUAUGAUUGACUUCUUGAUUUAACCAUUUCUUCAAUUCUUGAUUCCUCUUCUUAGACAUACAAUUGUACUAAGACUCACUUAGAGGAUCAAUUGAGAUAUGGUUCUUAAUCAUUAAGACCUAUCAUAAAGCAUAAAAGGUACUCUCCCUUCUUCUUAGAAUGGAGAAACUUUUAUCUUUCUGCCUACUUGAUUCUUCUUAUUCGUUCUGCUAUUGAUUUAAACCUUUUCAAUCAAUUCAGAAUUACACUUAAUCUUAUAAGUAUAAUCAUAUUUACUAAACCUUUAGUAAAUCAUGACGAAUAUCUUUGUUACUCUUAUGGUGGACUUGAUCAACACGCAACUUUGUGUACUCGAUCUCCUAGUCCUUCACUUGACACUUUGUCAAUGAAUUAGUCUAAUUUCCAAAUAUGAAAUUUCUCAUUCAUCGUGCAACCAAGUUGCAUGAUUCCAAGUUUCUGUCCAAUUGAAACUUGGGCGAUGAGAAACUCUCCCUAUUUGGUAAAUUCUCGACUUUCCAUAAAUAACAUAAUAAGAACCAAAUCCAUUAUUGCUAAUAAUAGAAACAUUCAAACAUCAAUUUUUCAUAUACGCCAUUGCAAGGAUAAAUAAAUAAUAUAAAAUCAAAAUUUAUUUUAUUGCGGAAAAAUUUUUCCUUACAAUGCAAUUCAUUGAAAAACUAUGCUAAUACAUCUUUCUUAGCAAUCUAAUUCUAACUCUAAGUAGUAGCUCAAGAAUCUAAUCUUCGAGAAAUGCGAUCGAAAUCCAUUCCUUCACGGUUAGAUUCUGCUCACUUCUUCCCUUAAGCUUCCUUUCUUUUCUUCGAUCCUACAAAACAUCAAUUGUAAUCUUAUCACAUUAUGUAUUAAGAAUCUAGAAUAGAAGCUUAAAAGAGUUAGUUAAUGGAUUUUACCUAUAUUAGAGCCAUACGUUUCGACUCUCCCAUCUCUUAGAUCUCUUAGGUAAAUGGGGCAGCUUCGUCUCCAAUGCCCUUUCUCUUGGCAAUAAAAGCAAAUUGACUCUUUUGGAACAUGACAUGGAACUACUUCAGACAUUGCCUUUCUCUUAUGAUCAAACUUUUCGAUCAUAGCAUGUCUUUCGUUGCCAUUGUCUAUAUCCAUAGAGGUCUUGAAGGCAGAUUCACCAAUCAACUUUGCUUUUCUAUUGCGCCAAACCAUUGCUGAUUCAGCAGCAAUAAGCAUAUAGGUGAGAUCUAUAAGGGUCACGUCGCGGUUCAUCAUAUAGUACUCUCUUACGAACUCACUAUAUGAGUUAGGAAGUGACUGAAGAACCCAAUCAACAGCCAUUUCCUCACAGACAACGGAUCCCAACAUUCUUAACCUAUCAAUGUGUGACUUCAUCCCUAGGACGUGUGCACACACCGACUUUCCUUCUUUAUGUUUACUUGCCAAAAGGGCUUGAGUGAUCUUGAACUUUUCAAGCCUUUGAACUUGUGGGUUAGGGAGAAUAAUUGGAGGAGGUGGAGGAAGUGAAGCAUGAUUUCUUGUUCCUCGAUCGAAUCGUGGAAUAUCAUCUUCAUAAGGAAGGCUUGUUCCACGGGAUUUGGGAAAACCAUAGUUGUCGAACUUUGACAUCUACAAAACGGGAGAAAACGAAUUCAAGUUAGUUGAUUGAUUGAGUCCUUAGUAAAUCACCCAAAUGAGAUACUAAGGCUAGGACCCAACACAAUAUUCUACAACUCGGGAGAGGGAUGCCGUAACCCUAAUUGCAGAAUAUUUGAAGGUAAGUGAAUGACGAUUCACUAAUUUCCACCAUGAAAAACGAAAAAGAAAUUUAAGUUUUAAAUCUAUGAAAACUCCUAGAUCCUUUGAGAUUCAUUGAACUUUCAAUGGCAUGUUUAAAUCUCGAUAUGCCCCUCUUGUUUGUGACUGGGAUGCCGAGGAUCACAAAGCGGGUGUGAAUAACCAUGCAAACUUACAUGGUGCCCUCACAUGUUACAGUCACCUAUUCGAUGUGCCGGUAAACCACACACGCUCCACCGAACUAUGACAAACAUUGAGUCACCCUUUGCUACCUUUGCUUAGAACCAUUUAGUGUGCCGGUAAACCACACACGCUCCACUAACGUCUUCGCAAGGGCACAAAGUGUAAUUUCAUGGAAUUGCAUCAAUUCACUUUUGCCUAAGUAACUAAGAUUGGGAAUUUUAUGAAAACAUUUAGUUACUUUAGUAAUUCAUUAUACUUAUAAUGGAAGGUUUUGUCCUAUCCUACCCGUUCGGCUAACGACCCUCCACUAGUCAAGAGUGCGGUGGGUAAGAGUGGAUACCCAUUCAAUCGCCAUUUUAUAGGCAAUUUCCUUAAACACCCCUUAUAGACUAGCUUCGUGAAUGAGGCCUACUAACGGUAAGACUGACUUUUACUCAUACAUAUAUAUAGUGUUAGACUUUUAAUGUUAUAUAUAGUAUAGGGUGUAUUUUACACUUUUAAAAUAUUAGGUGGUCAAAUUUAACAAUUAUACUUUUAAUUCAAUUAAAUUUUAAACCAAAAACUUUAUGGAUUUAUUAAACCUCUUUUAAUUAUACACCUUAAUUAAUUAAUAAAACCAUAAGGGUGUGAUUUGAACUUUUUCAAAACUAUAAUAGGGUUUUAGAAUUUAACAUUCCUAAUUAAACUUUUAAUCAACUUUUAAAUUCCAAAACUUGAGGGCAAGUUUUGAAACAUUUCAAAACAUUAGGGUUUAGAAUUUAAAUAUACAUCAAAAUUAAACCUUUUAAUCAAAAUUUAAAUUCCAAAACUUGAGGGCAAGUUUUGAAACUUUUCAAAACAAUUUAGUUUUAAUCUUUUUUAAAAAAUUUCGAAUUUAUGACAUUUAAAUUAAAAAAAUUAAAUAUUAAAACUCUUGAUUUAAUAAUUAUCUUGAAUUAGACUAUUAAUUUAAUUAUUAAAUCAUAAGGGAUUAUCUAAAUCAUGAGGAUAAUUACCAUUUAUACAUUUAAGAUAUCCUAAUCCCUUAAAUAUCUCUAUAGAUUUCGAAAAUAAGGAUAGGAUAAUGCAAAAUCUAUAAUUACCAUAUUUAACAAUUAGAGGAUAAUUACAAGAUAUGGGAUAAUCCAAAUCCCUAAAAUUUAGGAUCUUAUCUUGGGGAGGAGGCUAAUUUCGAAAAUCAAGGGAUUAAAACAAACCCUAGAUUUCGAAAUUUAAGGGUUUAAGGAAAGGAUUUGAAGAUCUUAUUCAAACUCUUGCAAAUUAGGGUUUGCAAACCCUAAUCUCGAAAAAAAAAACCUUAGCCUCCUAGGGUUUAUUGGCAAUAAACCCUAAUAUGUCAAGUUCAUACAAUUGAAUUUUUCAUACAUAUCAAGCAUCAAUACAAUAGAAACCAGUCUAGGCUCUGAUACCACUGAUGGGUUUUGGUCAUAAGACAUCCUAUGUGCUCAUACAAACCCUAAUGCUUGGAUCUAGGUUUCUCUAUUGUACAUGCUUUGAAUCCAAGACUAUAAACCCUAAUUCUAGCAUAUGGAAUUCGAUAUUAACAUAUAAUUAGGUUUAUGAUAUUACCUUGAUUGUUAUGUAGCAAUAACAAUCCCAAUUCCUCCUUGAAUUGACUUUGGAAGGCUUAGAGUCACAAGUGUCACUCCUCUAAUGGCUUACAAACACCAUAAGCAAGUGGAGAAGGUAUAAAGAGAGAGGAGAGAGGUAGAAAUUCGUCCUUA